AGGCGUGUUUGCUACCCAGCCCUUUGAACAAGGAGAUUUCAUCUUAGAAUACAGGGGUCAACUUCUGCCAGUAGAAAAAUGCCAAACAAGCAAGUACUCUGAAAAGGAGAGUACUUUUCUCUUUGACUUUGAAUGGCAGAAUCAUUACUGGUGUAUUGAUGCUUCAACAGAGGAUGGCUCUCUUGGAAGAUUAGUGAAUGACAACCAAAAGUCUCCAAACUGCACCAUGAAAAAAAUAAUAGUAAAUGAUGAGCCCCAUUUGUGCCUUUUUGCCAUCAAAAACAUAGAAAUGGGAACUGAAAUCGAUUACAACUAUGGUGAUUCUAAAUGGCCAUGGCGUGAAAAAGUGACAGGCUCUCAGGCUCCGGUUGAUGGUGGGCAGCUUGAACCAGACAGAAGUUUGCAGGACUCCUACCCUAAUGAUAGCAUCGAAUAACAUGCCAGCCUACAGGUGACAGGCUCUCAGGCUCCGGUUGAUGGUGGGCAGCUUGAACCAGACAGAAGUUUGCAGGACUCCUACCCUAAUGAUAGCAUCAAACAACAUGCCAGCCUACAGGUGACAGGCUCUCAGGCUUCGGUUGAUGGUGGGCAGCUUGAACCAGACAGAAGUUUGCAGGACUCCUACCCUAAUGAUAGCAUCGAACAACAUGCCAGCCUACAGGUGACAGGCUCUCAGGCUCCGGUUGAUGGUGGGCAGCUUGAACCAGACAGAAGUUUGCAGGACUCCUACCCUAAUGAUAGCAUCGAACAACAUGCCAGCCUACAGGUAA